UAGGGAAUCUUCCGCAAUGGACGCAAGUCUGACGGAGCAACGCCGCGUGAGUGAAGAAGGAUUUCGGUUCGUAAAACUCUGUUGUUAGAGAAGAACAGCGCAUAGAGUAACUGUUAUGCGUGUGACGGUAUCUAACCAGAAAGCCACGGCUAACUACGUGCCAGCAGCCGCGGUAAUACGUAGGUGGCAAGCGUUGUCCGGAUUUAUUGGGCGUAAAGCGAGCGCAGGCGGUCAAUUAAGUCUAAUGUGAAAGCCCCCGGCUCAACCGGGGAGGGUCAUUGGAAACUGGUUGACUUGAGUGCAGAAGAGGAGAGUGGAAAUCCAUGUGGAGCGGUGAAAUGCGUAGAUAUAUGGAGGAACACCAGUGGCGAAGGGGACUCUCUGGUAUGUAACUGACGAUGAGGCUCGAAAGCGUGGGUAGCAAACAGG
rnacentral:rRNA from 1 species